CACGUAGGGGGCAAGCGUUGUCCGGAUUUAUUGGGCGUAAAGAGCUCGUAGGCGGCUUAGUAAGUCGGGUGUGAAACCUCCAGGCUCAACCUGGAGACGCCACCCGAUACUGCUGUGGCUAGAGUCCGGUAGGGGAGCGUGGAAUUCCUGGUGUGGCGGUGAAAUGCGCAGAUAUCAGGAGGAACACCGAUGGCGAAGGCAGGUCUCUGGGCAUUAACUGACGCUGAGGAGCGAAAGCAUGGGGAGCGAACAGG
rnacentral:rRNA from 1 species